rnacentral:rRNA from 1 species
AACGAACGCUGGCGGCAGGCCUAACACAUGCAAGUCGAACGCUGUAGCAAUACAGAGUGGCAGACGGGUGAGUAACACGUGGGAAUCUUCCUAUCGGUACGGAAUAGCUCAGGGAAACUUGGGGUAAUACCGCAUACGCCCUUCGGGGGAAAGAUUUAUCGCCGAUAGAUGAGCCCGCGUCUGAUUAGCUAGUUGGUGAGGUAAUGGCUCACCAAGGCGACGAUCAGUAGCUGGUCUGAGAGGAUGACCAGCCACACUGGGACUGAGACACGGCCCAGACUCCUACGGGAGGCAGCAGUGGGGAAUAUUGGACAAUGGGCGCAAGCCUGAUCCAGCCAUGCCGCGUGAGUGACGAAGGUCUUCGGAUUGUAAAGCUCUUUUGGCGGGGACGAUAAUGACGGUACCCGCAGAACAAGCCCCGGCUAACUUCGUGCCAGCAGCCGCAGUAA